rnacentral:rRNA from 1 species
AGUGAACGCUGGCGGUAGGCCUAACACAUGCAAGUCGAACGGCAGCACAGUAAGAGCUUGCUCUUACGGGUGGCGAGUGGCGGACGGGUGAGGAAUACAUCGGAAUCUACUUUUUCGUGGGGGAUAACGUAGGGAAACUUACGCUAAUACCGCAUACGACCUACGGGUGAAAGCAGGGGAUCUUCGGACCUUGCGCGAUUGAAUGAGCCGGUGUCGGAUUAGCUAGUUGGCGGGGUAAAGGCCCACCAAGGCGGCGAUCCGUAGCUGGUCUGAGAGGAGGAUCAGCGACACUGGAACUGAGACACGGUCCAUACGCCUACGGGAGGCACCAGUGUGGAAUAUUGGACAGUGGGCGCAAGCCUGAUCCAGCCAUACCGCGUGUGUGAAGAAGGCCUUCGGGUUGUAAAGCCCUUUUGUUGGUAAAGAAAAGCAGCAGGUUAAUACCCCGCUGUUCUGACGGUACCCAAUGAAUAAGCACCGGCUAACUUCGUG